rnacentral:lncRNA from 1 species
CAUAUAUACAUAUAUUAUAUCUAUGUAUUUUUGUUAUAUAGAAAAUUAAUUGUUGUGAUUAAAGAGUUGAGUGACAAAAAAAAAGAAGUAGAAGAAAUGGAUAAAAGCCUUAAAAAAUAUAAUAGUGAUAUACAAGAAAUGAAAUCCAUAAUUAAUAAAAGUGACAACGAUUUAAAGGAACAAGCCCUAAUAAUUGAUAAUUUUACUGGGUUAAACAAAAGCUUAAAAGAUGAGUUAAAUAGUGCCACUAAAAAUUUAGAAAUAUCUAAAAGAUAUAUUAUGAAUUAUGAAAAAAAUGAAGAAGAGAUGAAAAAUAGAAUAAUGAAGUUAGAAAAAGAACUAUAUGAAAAAAACGAAGAAUGCGAAAUAAAAACCCAAAAAUUAAUGCUUAAAGAAAAGGAAUUAUCCGAUAAAGAGAUACAACUAAAAAAAAUAGCAUCAGUUAUCAUUAGUUAACAAUAUAUAUAACAUAUUUUUCUCUUAAAUAUUUAAAUUGUAUUUUUGUAUGUAACUUAAAUGCGAUUUUUUUUUUUUUUNNNNNNNNNNAAAAAAAAAAAAAAAUAUAAACACAACAAAUUUUAAAUAAAAAAAAUAGUAAAAUAUAUAAAACA